CUCCAGCACCUGUCUUAACGAAAGAACUUCAGUCUGUGGUCAUGGAGUCUAUAAUUCUCCCCACAGUGAAAGGAAUGUCAGCUGAGGGAUGCAAGUUUGUUGGGGUCCUAUAUGCUGGUCUCAUGAUUGAGAAGAAGUCUGGCUUACCUAAGCUAAUUGAGUACAACGUACGAUUUGGAGAUCCAGAGUGUCAGGUGAGUUGAAAAUCUUCUUGGCAUAAUUGUCUCAUGUGAUCCAGCUUAAUCUUAAAUAUUGGUUCAAGGAAUGUUUGUUCGAAGAAUUGGUUCUACCACAAGGCAGAUCUUUUUUCUUAAUUUUUUUUUUAUUUUGUUACCCACCCAGAUUUAAAUCAAACUUGUCCUGAUUAUCAGUGUGAAUGAAAUUCCAUCCCAAGGGACUAUUCACUAGUGUGCCAUGUCUUGAUGUUUAUUCAUAUUAGAUUAAGGUUGUGAAAGUAUAUGGAGUAUGUCAAUGUUCACACACGGUAGUGAGGGGAGAGUUUGUGAAAUGGAAAGGGAUUAACUUUUAGACGUACAAAAGAUGUUGAUAUGCUUGAAUUUGUUAUUGCACUUGUAGUUGCCCGAAAAAUAUGAGUCGGACUCUUCUUUACCUUUGGAAAAACAUCUGCUUUGUCAGUUGAGGCUCAACGAAAUGGACUUGCUUUACACUGUUUUCUUAUUAAAAGCGGCAUGAUAUAGGUUCGUGCAUGUAGCUUUUGUAUGUCCUACUUAAAUCAUAGCCCUGUAAUUAGAAUAAUAGUAUUAUCUAUUUUAUAUGAUUUAUGAAGUAAUCAUGCCAAAAUGCGGUUGUGGCCAUCUUUUUGGUGCAUGUACAUGAUUGUUUGUUGAUGCUCAAACUAAGAUUUAGGCUACUGCUGGCUGCAAAUUUUACUUGCGUAGCAGCUUGUAUAAUUUUGUUAAACACUGACAUUGGUUUUGCCUUAACCUGUGCCUUGUCCCAUUAAUAAUGAUACACAGGUUUUGAUGGUGAGGUUGGAGUCUGAUCUGGCAGAAGUUCUACUUGCCGCUUGCAGAGGAGAGUUAACUGGGGUAACACUGAACUGGUCCCCAGGAUCUGCCAUGGUUGUAGUAAUGGCGAGCAAAGGUUACCCCGGAUCCUAUGAGAAAGGAUCUGUGAUCCAGAACCUCGAAGAAGCAGAACAAGUUGCUCCUUCUGUAAAGAUAUUUCAUGCAGGGACAGCACUUGACGCGGAUGGCAACUUCAUUGCCACUGGUGGCCGUGUUCUUGGGGUUACUGCAAAGGGAAAAGAUGUUGAAGAGGCACGAGAUAGAGCUUACCUAGCAGUGGAGGAAAUCAACUGGCCAGGAGGGUUCUACCGGCGAGAUAUUGGAUGGAGAGCACUUCCUCAAAAGCAAUUUGCUACAAGAGAGUAAAACUAACGUCCAGAUCCCAGAAAUUAGCACUUUUUUUUUAUCCGUUUCUAACGUUUGAGAUGGAUCAUGUAUUACCGAAUCAUGUACCAAAGGAAAAUGCAGUCGAUGAGGUUCUCAGCCUUGUUACCCAAGGAGUCUUCAUUGUUUAUUCUAACUGACAUCAAUCAAACGAAAGUGUAUUCUAACUGACAUGAAUCAAACAAAGAUGUGCAGCAAUUUCUUAAUAAUGCAAUACUAAGAGAAUUACGGUUGUGCGAAUUGUAUACCCACAAGCUGUAAUUGGUUCAGCUAUGACUCCGAAUUUUAGACCCUUAAACCUGUUGUUUCACUGGCUUAUUGCCUUGCCAUGUGCCUUUUUGUGUGUAACAUAUGAGACUUGACUCUUUGAAUUAACUUAUAAGAGAUAGUUUAAAUUAUGUGCCCUUUUGUGUGUUACAUAAUAGAUGACUUGUUAUUUUUAUAUUCAAGAUAAAGGACAUGUUCUACGAUAUUUAUUAUGGAGUAAAUAAUGAAUGAUUUAUUGUUUAUAAAUUUAUCAUUUAGAUGACAUGUUUACUCUAGACUAAAUACAUGACUUGUUUUUAUAUUCACGAUAAAAAUUUUCCAUGAGAUACAAUUUUUUUAUAUAUUUAUCUUAUUAAAAUAUAAGUUAAUCACAAUUUCUUUUAUUAUAUUUUAUCAAAUGGUAAUGAAUCAUCCCACCCAUAUGAGUGGAAUUCAAACCCAUAGCUCUCUUAUUUUUAAAUUGAGAUUUUUAUUAUGUUGGCCAAAUUUUGUUUUCACUAAACAUGAGAUGGGAAUGAAUUUUUUUUUUAAAUAAUUCCAUCCCAAACAUUUUAUCCCUCAACCAAAUGCAUCCUUUUAAAAUAAUUAAUUUAUAUACUCUAAUUAAUAAUUUUGAAAAGGAAAAAAUUCAAUCAAAAUGAAAUGACACGAACACAUUAUUUUAAAUUUAUAUUUAACAUAUCCAGUUAAAAAAUAAAUUUAAAAAAAUUUUAAUUGAAUAAUAGUAAAAAAAAAAAAAAGAAUUGUAUUUGAAAUAUACAAUAAUUGAUUUCUCUUGCAGUACAUAAAACCCUAGGGGUUUCCAAUUUCUCUUCACCCACUCCAACGCCCACCAAAUACAAACCCUUAUCUUCUCCACCAAAAGAAAGUCAACAUUUUCACAGACCCACAAUCACAAACAUGGCGACGUUUUCAACAACCCAAAUUCACUCUCUGGGUAACAUUCCUUUGUCUUCAAGAAGGAUUAAAGCCGCUAGUUUUCAAUCAUCCGCUCCGAGAACCGCCUUUUUCGGCCAAGCACUGGGCAGAAAACCGCAUUUUGGCCUCCCAAACGCGGCUUUUUUGAAGUUAAACAAUGAAAAAAACAAUACUAGAAGAAGGUGUAACGUGGGUCCGGUGAGAGUGGUGAAUGAGAAGGUGGUGGGGAUUGAUUUGGGGACGACGAAUUCGGCGGUGGCGGCGAUGGAAGGGGGGAAGCCGACGAUAGUGACGAAUGCCGAGGGGCAACGGACGACGCCGUCUGUGGUUGCGUAUACGAAGAUUGGGGAUAGGUUGGUGGGUCAAAUUGCGAAGAGGCAGGCGGUUGUGAACCCGGAGAACACCUUCUUUUCAGUGAAGAGGUUUAUUGGGAGGAAGAUGUCGGAGGUUGAUGAUGAAUCGAAGCAAGUUUCGUAUAGAGUUGUGAGAGAUGAGAAUGGGAAUGUGAAGUUGGAUUGCCCUGCUAUCGGUAAGCAGUUUGCUGCUGAAGAGAUUUCGGCUCAGGUAUAAGGGUGUUAUGAAGUUUUUGUGUAAUGGGUUUGUUGAAAGUUUCGAUUUUAUUUAUUUAUUUAUUUAUUUUUGCGUUGUUUGGCUUAUGAUGGAAUGAUGAAUUUGUGUCAUGUUGCUGACAUGUGGCUAUUCACCACAUAGCCAUGCGUUUAAAAUUAAGCAGAAGUGAAACAGUAACUGACAUACUAAAAUUUACUGGUAUCCUAUUGUUAUGGGUGUAGACCUGUAGUUGAAGUUGGAAUUUGGGCUCAUGAUGGUAUUUUUGUUUUACAUUGGGAUAAUGUGAUGUGGAUUUUGGAUAUGAGAAUGUUUGAAUUGAAUUUUUUUUUUCCAGGGUGGGUUGGAGCUUUUUAGUUUCUAGAAUGUAAUAGGAAAAGAAAGAAAGAGUUGAUAGUUGCAUAGGAGUUAAUUUUUCUUUUGGGGAUGAAUUAGGGUUUUUGGGUGGGAUUGAUGAGCUCUUUUUUUUUUUUUUCAAAUUUUUUGUUUGUUCUCAUAUUUAUUUCUGUGACAGCAUUUUCUUCCGCAAGGAAAAUUGUUAUAAUGCAUGUAAACCCACUUGUGCAUAAUCUUAUAGUACUUGCUAUGUUGUUAUUCUGCAAUGUGCAAGAUGCACUUACCUGCAACCUGCGAGGAACUUCUUAAGGCUCAAAGAAACAAAUAUAGUUAUUCUUUAUUAUUAUUUUUUUGAAUUACAUUGAAGUAGUUCAUUCUAAUUGGUCAACUUGAAAUUGCACCGUGCAUUUGUCUUCCUUUUAGGUGUAUUAACUCAUUUUACAUAUGUAGAGUACUUGCUGAUGGUUAAUUUAUUCUGUUUUUCUAUAUCAGGUCUUGAGAAAGCUUGUGGAUGAUGCAUCCAAGUUCUUAAAUGAUAAAAUAACUAAAGCUGUGGUCACAGUGCCUGCUUACUUCAAUGAUUCCCAGAGGACAGCGACAAAGGAUGCUGGUCGUAUAGCUGGCUUAGAAGUUCUGCGUAUCAUCAAUGAGCCUACCGCUGCCUCGCUUGCCUAUGGAUUUGAAAGGAAAAACAAUGAGACCAUCCUAGUGUUUGACCUUGGUGGUGGUACUUUUGAUGUUUCAGGUACUCUUUCAGAAGUUCAUUUUUGUUCUGUCUUCUGCAGAUAUCUUAGGGAAUUUAUUUUAAUUGCAGCUUAAGUAAUGCGGCUGGAAAUUGAUCUUGGUGACUAUCAAAUUAUUUUGAAUGGAAAGGUCUGUUCAUUCUUAAAUAUCUUAUUUCUUUCUAUUCCAGUGCUUGAGGUUGGAGAUGGAGUGUUUGAAGUGCUUUCAACUUCAGGAGAUACACAUUUGGGUGGGGACGACUUUGAUAAGGUUGGAAUACCUUUAUAAUAUAGUGCCUUCAAUUUUGUUUGUACCUAUGUGUAAGAGCAAAGUAAUUUGGAUUUACUUAUGUGAUUAAUGGACAUGCAAUUAUCAUAUGCUAUAUGAAGAGAGUUGUUGAUUGGCUUGCUGAAAACUUCAAAAGAGAUGAAGGUGUCGUUCUUUUGAAUGACAAACAAGCUCUUCAGCGACUAACAGAAGCAGCUGAGAAAGCUAAAAUGGAGCUGUCAUCUUUGACUCAGGCAAACAUCAGGUAUGUUAUUUGUAUCUAUUUAACUCUUUUUUUUAUUCAGGUGCAUAUCAUCCUCUUGGCUGUUUGUUGUACUAAUAAUUUUUUGUUUUUCCAGCUUGCCUUUCAUUACUGCUACUGCAGAUGGGCCUAAGCAUAUCGAGACUACCCUUACAAGGGCCAAGUUUGAGGAAUUGUGUUCUGAUCUACUUGACAGGUUAGCUUAUUUUACACUAGUUCUUUCAACAUGGCGGUGCAUGUUUUAACGGAAUAUUUGCUUUUGAGCCCUUGCUGUAACGGUAGAUGUUUCUAUUAUCUCGUGGCCUCUUCUGUGUAACCAUUGGGGUCCUAAAUGCUUCAUUUUUUAAAUGCUUCAUUUUUAGUCUCAUCUACUUGAUUUGCCUUGAUAGGCUAAAGAAACCUGUUGAAACUGCCUUGAGGGAUGCAAAACUUUCAUUCAACGAUCUAGAUGAGGUUAUCCUUGUUGGUGGAUCAACCCGUAUUCCGGCUGUUCAGGAGCUGGUGAAAAAGAUGACUGGGAAGGAUCCAAAUGUCACUGUUAAUCCUGAUGAAGUGGUUGCCUUAGGAGCUGCUGUUCAGGUAGGUUCAAUACUUACCAAAAUAUAUUCUGCUCUGUGCAUUUUUGAGUUCAUUAAAUUUGUAAAGGGGAAUUUUAUAAUCCUGAUUUCGUGGUGGAUAUUAUUUCACAACUAUCUUCGGCUGAAUUUGUGGUCGAUUAUUUUUCUUACUCCAUUUAGUUACAUAGUCUUAUGAAAUAUUUUAUGACUUUAGGGAGGUGUUCUUGCUGGAGAUGUCAGUGACAUUGUCCUAUUGGAUGUUACACCACUAUCUAUUGGUUUAGAAACCCUCGGUGGUGUUAUGACAAAGAUCAUCCCAAGAAACACAACUCUUCCUACCUCCAAAUCAGAGGUGUUCUCCACUGCUGGAGAUGGACAAACAAGUGUUGAGAUCAAUGUCCUUCAAGGUGAAAGAGAGUUUGUUAGGGAUAACAAAUCACUGGGCAGCUUCCGUCUAGAUGGUAUCCCACCAGCUCCACGUGGGGUCCCCCAAAUUGAGGUCAAAUUUGACAUCGACGCCAAUGGAAUUCUCUCUGUCACUGCUGUUGACAAAGGCUCGGGGAAGAAACAAGACAUCAUCAUUACUGGUGCUAGUACCUUGCCCAGUGAUGAGGUCAGUUUGAUAUACUCUAGCUAACUGGGUGCUUGUUUAAAACUACUAUUUUUCUUCAUCUUGCAGUGCCUUCAAUAAAAUCGUUAAUUGUUGCAGAAUUUAUGUUGCUUUUUCAGGAGUGGUUAACGCAGCUUAAUAUAUUUGUGCUAAGUUUAUUUUCUUUCUACUUUACCUUGCAUCCAUUACUACUUUGUAGUUAAGAGCCAAUUAUGUUGCAGCCUUUGUACAUUUCGGCGUUUCAAGUCAGAAGGCAGAAGCUACAGGAUACCCAGUCAUUUUCUGUGGCUGAAUUAUUUAUGACCAGUCUUACAAUGUGUUUGACCGUUGGCUGUUUUAAUGGAACUUGCUCAUAUGAAUUUAAAAGUUGCAUGAUUGCUACAAUUAUUGUCUUGUAAAUGAAAUUUUUUCUUAAGAUGGGACCUAUAUCAUUCAACGAAUUGUGCUGUACUAAUGUCUCUAUCAAAAUCUGCAGGUGGAGAGAAUGGUGAAAGAAGCUGAGAAGUUCGCGAAGGAGGACAAGGAAAGGAGGGAUGCCAUUGACACAAAGAACCAAGCUGAUUCCCUCGUGUAUCAGACAGAGAAACAGCUGAAGGAGCUGGGAGAAAAAGUUCCAGCACCAGUCAAGGAGAAGGUUGAAGGAAAACUUCAGGAUCUGAAGGAUUCCAUUUCAGAAGAGUCAACUCAAAAGAUGAAGGACGCCAUGGCCGCCCUUAACCAAGAAGUCAUGCAGCUUGGCCAGUCUCUAUACAACCAACCAGGUGCUGGACCUGCUCCCGGUGCGGAAGCUGGGCCGUCGGAUUCGUCCAACAAGGGACCUGAUAGUGAUGUUAUUGAUGCCGAUUUUUCUGACAGCAAAUGAGUACCUUACAGCUUUCUGUUCCCAUUCCUGGUAUCAUUUUUGUUGCAUGGGCAAAGGACACAACGUUGUUUUUAGAAAUAUAGAAGAUAUUGGUGACAGCUACAGAUGGUAGGAAACCCCCAUUUGCAAACGAAACUAGUUUUAUUUCUUGUGUAUAAAACGCACUUCAACAAUAGUUCAUUUAUUAAAUGCAGAAUAUGGUUUUUAUGAUGAAUUUUAGAGUUAAUUUUGAAUAUUUAUGUGUGAUAUGUUGUCAUUCUCAAAAAAAAAAAAAAUGUGUGAUAUGUUGUCAAUAAUGCUGGGAUCUCAAUGUUGUAUGUGUGAAUUUGUUAUUGUUAUGGGGAUGAAGUAACGAUCUGACUUCUGAGAUUGAGUGGACAGAGAGAAUCAGAGAACUGCACAUUAAAAAUAUCAUUGAAAUUUUCAGUGCAAAGCAAAGGUGAUUGCACUGGAAAAUGUCCUAAAAAUGCCCUGAGAAAAAGUGUGCUUCUGGCAACUGCCGUUGCGUUUGCAAUUAAUGCUUCGAGCUUGAGGAUAAAGAUGCUAAUUUUGUCAUCUAUAAUUACAAUAAACUACUAAAUUUCAUCUGCCAUUCAUUUUUUUCUUUUUCAAGCUUUAGGCCACGUAGAAGUCUUUCAAAGUGACUAAUUUCGUGAUAUCGUUUAUAUAACGUCAUUCAACCUCUGUCAUUUUUCUAUCUUAAAUGCGUCAACAAAAAGAAAAAGAAAGCUGUAAACUAUUAGGUCUACUAAGUGAGUGUUUGUGGUGCUUUUAACUUUGUUUUGAAAGCAAACCAGCACAAGACACUUUCAUUUGGUAAUAAAUGUAUUACCACUCAUCCAAUGCUUAUAGUUUACAGCUAGUGAGUGUGGCUUAAAAAACAACACUUCCGUUCCAACAUGCUGCUUUGAAUUUGAAAUAUAAAGUUUGUAUUUCGUAAAAAAUGACUAAUAAAAUGAUAAUAUCAGCAUCUGUGAUCCAUUAGGUAAAACCUAUAUAUCAAAAAGAUCUUUAUGAAAUGAAAGUGUGAUAUGGCUUUUAUAGAACAUUGGUGAUCGACCAUAUGCCUAAUAAAAAGUUCAUCAAUUGGAAAAGGAAUAGGGAUGGCAAUGGAGAGGGGAGGGGAGGGGAGGGGAUCGACAUCUCCACACUCAUUCCCGAUAUUUUACAUAUAUUCCUGUCCCCUCCCAAUCUCCAUUAGAAUUGAUUGAGGAGAUCACCGUUCCCUCCCCGAAUGAUAAGAGGGGAUUUCUGAGGGGUCCACAAACCUCGAAUAACUAAUACGUUUUAUAUUUAAAUUUUGAACUUGAUUAAUCAUAUUAAAAUAAAAAUUUAAACAAAAGUAAGGUUUGACAAUAUAUCUUACACUAACAUUAAUCCAUUACAAAAAUCGUACUACAAAAUAUAAAUGAUCAGAAUAAUUAUCUUCGUCAAUCUUCAUAAUCUUAUGAAAAAAAGAAAUUGUUUUAUAUCAAUAAUGAAAUAAAUGAAAUGGGUAUAGAUACUAAAAUUAAUAUUUUUAAUAAAAGCGUUUACUCUUGUACCUCAUACUCCUCCUGUUCUUCCUCAAGAAAUGUGACAAAUUGAGAGAUGAUAUCAGGUUUCAAAUCUAAAACAAUAAAAAAAUCUAAACAAUAUGACUCAUUAUCUGAAAUAGUUUUGGGCCAAGAUAUUUAGAAUAAGGUCUGGUUGAAUAGUAAUUCAGGACUACAACUAGUUAAGUAGGUUCGAAAUUUUUAUAACAGAUUUGUAUAAAUAUUUUGAUAUUUGUUAUUUAAACUAAUAUUUAAUAUAAUUUAAAUUUCAUUAUUCAUUUAUUAAUAAUUCUAAAAAAUAGAACCAAAAUUAAAAAUUAAUAUGAGGAAAUGGGGAAAUGGGUACGGGAUGGAGAUUUCACCUUAUCCCCAUCCCUUUUCCGAAUAAAAAACUGGGUAAAAAAUUAUCCACAUUCCCUUCCCGAAUAAGAAAUUAGGUAUCAAAUUGUCCUCAUACCCUCCACGAAUAGGGAAAAUCCCCAAAGAUUCCCAUCCCCGUAAGAAUUUUCUGUGGCUGAAUUAUUUAUGACCAGUCUUACAAUAUGUUUUGACCGUUGGCUGUUUUAAUGGAACUUGCUCAUAUGAAUUUAAAAGUUGCAUGAUUGCUACAAUUAUUGUCUUGUAAAUGAAAUUUUUUCUUAAGCUGGGACCUAUAUCAUUCAGCGAAUUGUGCUGUACUAAUGUCUCUAUCAAAAUCUGCAGGUGGAGAGAAUGGUGAAAGAAGCUGAGAAGUUCGCGAAGGAGGACAAGGAAAGGAGGGAUGCCAUUGACACAAAGAACCAAGCUGAUUCCCUCGUGUAUCAGACAGAGAAACAGCUGAAGGAGCUGGCAGAAAAAGUUCCAGCACCAGUCAAGGAGAAGGUUGAAGGGAAACUUCAGGAUCUGAAGGAUUCCAUUUCAGAAGAGUCAACUCAAAAGAUGAAGGACGCCAUGGCCGCCCUUAACCAAGAAGUCAUGCAGCUUGGCCAGUCUCUAUACAACCAACCAGGUGCUGGACCUGCUCCCGGUGCGGAAGCUGGGCCGUCGGAUUCGUCCAACAAGGGACCUGAUAGUGAUGUUAUUGAUGCCGAUUUUUCUGACAGCAAAUGAGUACCUUACAGCUUUCUGUUCCCAUUCCUGGUAUCAUUUUUGUUGCAUGGGCAAAGGACACAACGUUGUUUUUAGAAAUAUAGAAGAUAUUGGUGACAGCUACAGAUGGUAGGAAACCCCCAUUUGCAAACGAAACUAGUUUUAUUUCUUGUGUAUGAAAUGCACUUCAACAAUAGUUCAUUUAUUAAAUGCAGAAUAUGGUUUUUAUGUUGAAUUUUAGAGUUAAUUUUGAAUAUUUAUGUGUGAUAUGUUGUCAAUAAUGCUGGGAUCUCAAUGUUGUAUGUGUGAAUUUGUUAUUGUUAUGGGGAUGAAGUAACGAUCUG
rnacentral:lncRNA from 1 species